rnacentral:rRNA from 1 species
UACGUAGGGCGCAAGCGUUAUCCGGAAUUAUUGGGCGUAAAGAGCUCGUAGGCGGUUUGUCGCGUCUGCUGUGAAAACCUGAGGCUCAACCUCGGGCUUGCAGUGGGUACGGGCAGACUAGAGUGCGGUAGGGGUGACUGGAAUUCCUGGUGUAGCGGUGGAAUGCGCAGAUAUCAGGAGGAACACCGAUGGCGAAGGCAGGUCACUGGGCCGCAACUGACGCUGAGGAGCGAAAGCAUGGGGAGCGAACAGG